AAAACUAUACUUUCAGGAAUCAUUUCUAUAGUAUGUAACUAGAGAAGUUUCUCUGAUCGUGUAGAGCACCCGAAGCCACGAGGAGGAGCCAGAGCGUCCUCUCCUGAGCGUGAAGUCGACUUUAGGUGUUGCUUUUUCGGCUGCCUCUUGCCAUUGAUGAUCGUUCUUCCCUUCCUUUGGAAGGGGUAGAGGGAGAGGACGCAGUCUAAGAGGU